rnacentral:rRNA from 1 species
AGAGUGAACGCUGGCGGUAGGCCUAACACAUGCAAGUCGAACGGCAGCACAGUAGGAGCUUGCUCUUACGGGUGGCGAGUGGCGGACGGGUGAGGAAUACAUCGGAAUCUACCUUUUGGUGGGGGAUAACGUAGGGAAACUUACGCUAAUACCGCAUACGCCCUUCGGGGGAAAGCCGGGGACCAGCAAUGGCCUGGUGCUGAUAGAUGAGCCGAUGUCGGAUUAGCUAGUUGGUGAGGUAAUGGCUCACCAAGGCGACGAUCCGUAGCUGGUCUGAGAGGAUGAUCAGCCACACUGGAACUGG